UACGGAGGGUGCGAGCGUUAAUCGGAAUUACUGGGCGUAAAGCGUGCGUAGACGGUACUGUAAGUCGGGUGUGAAAGCCCCGGGCUCAACCUGGGAAUUGCAUUCGAGACUGCAUCGCUUGGGUGCGGAAGAGGGAAGCGGAAUUGCCGGUGUAGCGGUGAAAUGCGUAGAUAUCGUCUGGAACGCCGAAGGUGAAAACAGCUCGCUGGGGCUGCGCUGACGCUGAGACACGAAAGCCAGGGGAGCGAACGGG
rnacentral:rRNA from 1 species